GACGAACGCUGGCGGCGUGCUUAACACAUGCAAGUCGAACGAGAGGACAAGAGAAGCUUGCUUCUUUGGAAUCGAGUGGCAAACGGGUGAGUAACACGUAAACAACCUGCCUUCAGGAUGGGGACAACAGACGGAAACGACUGCUAAUACCGAAUACGCUUGGGAGACCGCAUGAUCUUCCAAGGAAAGGGUGGCCUCUACUUGUAAGCUAUCGCCUGAAGAGGGGUUUGCGUCUGAUUAGGCAGUUGGUGAGGUAACGGCCCACCAAACCUACGAUCAGUAGCCGGUCUGAGAGGAUGAACGGGCCACACUGGAACUGAGACACGGUCCAGACUCCUACGGGAGGCAGCAGUGGGGGAAUCUUCCCGGCAACUGGGCGAAAGCCUGACGGAGCAACGCCGCGUGAGUGAUGACGGCCUCGGUGUAAGAC
rnacentral:rRNA from 1 species